AGGGUUUGAUCCUGGCUCAGAAUGAACGCUGGCGACGUGCCUAACACAUGCAAGUCGAACGGGAAAGCCCUUCGGGGUAAGUACAGUGGCAAACGGGUGAGUAACACGUGAGAAUCUACCCUACAGUGGAGGAUACCUCUGAGAAAUCGGAGUUAAUACUGCAUAAGUCUCUACGGAGAGAAAGGUGGCAUCUUGCUACCGCUGGAGGAUGAGCUUGCGGCCUAUUAGCUAGUUGGCGAGGUAAAGGCUCACCAAGGCGAAGAUGGGUAACCGGCCUGAGAGGGCGAACGGUCACACUGGAACUGAGACACGGUCCAGACUCCUACGGGAGGCAGCAGUGGGGAAUAUUGCAUAAUGGGCGCAAGCCUGAUGCAGCGACGUCGCGUGGAGGAUGAAGGUUUUCGGAUUGUAAACUCCUGUUAAACGGGAAGAAAGGCUCGGAGCUAAUACCUCCGGGAGAUGACGUUACCGUUAAAGAAAGCACCGGCUAACUUCGUGCCAGCAGCCGCGGUAAUACGAAGGGUGCGAGCGUUAUUCGGAAUGACUGGGCGUAAAGGGUGUGUAGGCGGUUUGCUAAGUCAGUUGUUAAAGAUCACGGCUUAACUGUGAGCAUGCGAUUGAUACUGGCAAGCUUGAGGUUGGAAGAGAGGAGUGGAAUUCUCGGAGUAGCGGUAAAAUGCGUAGAUCUCGAGAGGAACACCGAAGGCGAAGGCAGCUCCUUGGUCCAUACCUGACGCUGAGACACGAAAGCGUGGGGAGCAAACAGGAUUAGAUACCCUGGUAGUCCACGCUGUAAACGAUGAUCACUGGAUAUGGGUUCGGGUUACCGAAUCUGUGUCGAAGCUAACGCGUUAAGUGAUCCGCCUGGGAAGUACGGUCGCAAGAUUAAAACUCAAAGGAAUUGACGGGGGUCCGCACAAGCGGUGGAACAUGUGGUUUAAUUCGAAACUACGCGAGGAACCUUACCUAGGCUUGACAUGUACCUGCAAUCCGGCGAAAUCCGGAGUUCUGGGGAAACUCAGACGAGUACACAGGUGCUGCAUGGCUGUCGUCAGCUCGUGUCGUGAGAUGUUGGGUUAAGUCCUUUAACGAGCGCAACCCUUGCCGUUAGUUGCUACCUUCGGGGGCACUCUAGCGGGACUGCCUUGGAAACAAGGAGGAAGGUGGGGAUGACGUCAAGUCCUCAUGGCCCUUAUGCCUAGGGCUACACACGUGUUACAAUGGCGAGUACAAAGGGGAGCAAGACCGCGAGGUGGAGCAAAUCCCAAAAAGCUCGUCUAAGUUCAGAUUGUAGUCUGCAACCCGACUACAUGAAGUUGAAAUCGCUAGUAAUCGCGUAUCAGAACGACGCGGUGAAUACGUUCUCGGACCUUGUACACACCGCCCGUCACACCACGAAAGUCGUUUGCACCCGAAGUCACUUUAGCUAACCUGUAAAGGGGGCGAGUGCCGAAGGUGCGGGGGAUGAUUGGGGUGAAGUCGUAACAAGGUAGCCG
rnacentral:rRNA from 1 species